UUGAAACAAGUGAUGCCAACUAUUGCUACCAUUUCUUCAACCAUAAUCAAAGUGAGCCCAUCUUAGAAAAAGUGAGGUGCCAGGAGGGUUCCAAAAAUUGCAACCAACUCAAGAAAGCUUCCAUAGCAAUAGGAAGCCAAAGCGAUUAUGCUGUGUUCCCCAUCAAGAUCAGGACUUGUGCGAACACAAGCUAUGCUGUUUCUUGGAGGCAGUUCUUCGGCCCACUAAGAGUCUGCAUCAGGGAGGAAUCCUGGUUCUCUGGCUGCAGGUGCCCUCAGAAGAAAAUCAAGCAUCUGAUACAGAGGAGCCACGGGGCAGCAGCUGCCAGUGGAAGUGCUGUCAGUGACAACAACCACUCCGGCACACCCUCUCCAGUGCAUAAAAAGCAUGCAAUCAGAUCUGUCCACCACGGGGACCCCGAACCUGUCAGUCCCUCUGGGGAUGCACAUCAUAGCGAUGGAGGGGAUGGGGCGGGGAACGCUGGUCCCUCUGACCAUGGGUCAGAGCAUUCCUCAAGUUCCAAACACUCCCCCGUUCAGCCCGGCCCCCUCCUGGUAGCCCUUGGGAUAACCAUCUUUGCAAUGUGGUGAGCAGAAAUGCAGCUGGAAGUGUGGAGAUUUGACUCCUAGGCUGAAUCAAACUUUGCGAAAGACUCGAGGGUUGCAGUCGGGCAAAAAGGGGAAGGGGAAGUCAAAGCUCCUGGCUCGGACUCACUGCUCUGGUCACCCAAGCAGUUCUUACCCUGGCUGGGAAAGACACACAUUUAUGCUUGUACCCAAGAAUUAAUUUUCCACUGAAAUAUCCUUCCCCGGAAAAGGAAAGGCUACCUUGUUUUUGUUAGUGCCUGCCGUUCCUCUUCCCUGCCUGAAGCACUUAAUGCGUGCAACAUUAUUAUUAUUAAUAACAAUAACACUAAUAAUGCUGCGAACAGAGUUUCAAACUGACCCCAAAAUUUCUUUGGCUACACUGGAGAACUGAUAGAAAAAGCAUAUCAGAAUCGGGGAUGGUGUAGACUCAACUCCCACUCCAUAUUCCGGAUGGCCAGAUCGGCAGCAUGUUAUUGUAUUUUAUUUUGUAUAGAUUUCAUUUUCAGGAUUCCGUUAAUGUCAUACCGAUUGCACGGAAUAAAGAGCUUGGUGCCA